rnacentral:misc_RNA from 1 species
ACGCUUUCAGAGGUAACAGAGCAAUCCGCCGCCUCCGAUUUACAUUGCCGAACGCACCUAUUGAAUCAAUUCAACUAAGGCUGUGUCCAUAAUGGACAAUCUAUAUGUCAGAGAGAGAGAGAGAAAGAGAGACUCUCAGCCUAAAGGAAUAGACGUUUUAUAAUGUAAUUUGAAGAGGAAGGCAGAAUAAGAAUAUGAUUAGAAAAUAUGUCGAUUGAUGUCUAAAAAAGAAAGUAAUUAAUUGAUCUCAUCGUUAAGAUUUUAAACAUGUGCAACAGGGAAUAAUUUAUGAUAUCGAUGGCUAUGCGGAAAAGAAGUGGCUCUGGUGCCAAACGCCAGCACAAAUGCAAACUAGUACCUAUCUAUGAAAGUUUUUUCAAAGGUGAAGAUUUGACACUAGCUCAUCCAAACUUCUGGAAUGAGCUAUUUCUCAUUAAACCCAUGGUUCCUCACAUUGAGAGUGAGAUUUUACAUAUGACAUCAGAACAGCUAAAUGCUAGUAAAGAAAAUUUGAACGCCUUGGUAUGUCAUUGUGUUGACACUUUAGUUGAUGAACAUCCAUUUAGAAUAGUAUAUGCGCUGCAAACAUUAGCGGCAGUUAUUCAAUCUAUGUAUAAGAAAGCCAAUCAAGGAGACUAUGGAUUUAACUUAAUAGAUAUUUUAGUAGGGUUUGAUGCUGCAGAACAAAGGAUGACAACAUUGAUGCAGCAUUGCAAUAAUUUUCUGACAGGUGAAUAUCCAGAUAGUUUAAAAGCUUUGUGCCUGAAAUUACUGUUAAUAAUAGUCACUGGUAUGGACAAUGUUAGCCAAAAUACUUUAUUGGAAUAUGUAAUGCUAAAUAGUAUCUUUGAGUCUCUAAUACAAUUGUUGAGAGAUACAGCUGCUAGAAAUCGCCAUGGCCAUGAUGCAGUUUUAUUGUUAACGCUUCUAGUCAACUACAGGAAAUAUGAGAGCACAAAUCCAUAUAUCGUUAAAUUAUCAAUCUUGGAUGAUGAAUUGGCUCUCAAUGGGUAUGGACAAGCUAUAUCAAGUUCGUUAACGGAGUUCUGUCGGCAAUUCGCCCAACAAAGGGCAGAAAUACAAGCAUCUUGGUUGUCUUCGCUAACUAGUAUAGUCGGUAGCAUGUUUGUUGGCGAAGAGGAAGCAAAAACGCAACAAGUUCGCGCGAAUAACGCUUUGCUUUUAGCUCUGUACGAGGCCACACACUUGAAUCGUAAUUUUGUAACUACUCUGGCCUAUACACAAAGUGAUACUAGUGCACCUCCAUCACCAAACAAUACCUUAGGCCCGAAUACUGUGGCUCCUGGUGCUCCACCGCCCGACGUAAUGGCUCAGCCGUUCAAUUUAUUGGCUACCUUCUUGCAGUACUGCUCGAUAGUCAUGCAAGUUAUCAGAACAGAGGCUAUAAUGAAUAAUGUGAAGCUAUGUUUCUUGAUAUUAAGCUGUAUCGCGGAGGAUCAGUACGCUAACAGCUUAAUGCACGACGCAAACUUGGCGUUCAGAGUUCAAUUACACAGAGUACCCAUGCACCAUAGAAAAUUGCAAGAUAAAGCAGCACCUGCGCAACCACUCGCAGCGACAUUACUCGAUCUGCUGGUCGAAUUCAUAACGUCGCAUAUGAUGAAGAAGUUUCCGCUUGAGUUAUACCAUCAAUGCAUCGGCGUCCUCCAAAGAUUGCUGUGCUACCAAAAAAGGUGUCGUGUUAGACUUGGUUAUCAGUGGCGAGAUCUUUGGACGGCGUUGAUUAAUCUUUUGAAAUUUUUAACGACGCACGAAAGUCAUCUUAUUAAGAAAAUGAACAUAUUUCCUUUAGCUAUUCAGGUGGUAAACAUUUUAAAUUUAUUUAUCACAUAUGGUGAUACAUUCCUAUCAUCGCCCAGUAGUUACGACGAACUGUUUUAUGAAAUUAUUCGUAUGAGACUUAUUUUCACUAACUUAAAUGCUAUGGAUAACGGCAUGGCUAACCAAAGAAAGCUUAUCGACGCCGACGGAACAGCAAAUUUUGGCAAUUAUAAUACAGAAUUACGAUAGUCUCACCUUAAAGCUGCAGGAUAAUUUGGACCAGUACGAAAGAUACUCGGAAAAGCCCAAUCAUACUGCAUUUUUUGAGGAAAUGGUAAGUGGAGUGGUAGUGGAUA